rnacentral:lncRNA from 1 species
GGUUACCCACAGGAGCCCUGAGGGGAAAUGUUCCUGGUUUGACACAUCUUUUGUUGUUGUUCAGUCAUUUUUCAAUUGUGUCUGACUCUAUGCCACCCUGUUUUUUUUUUUUUUUGACAGAGGUAUCCAUCUUAGGAUUGCUAUUUGGUCACCUGUACUCAGUGAAAGAAACAGGAAGAAGAGGCAGUUGGAGAGAUUUGAGGUUCAGUUUCAGGAAGUGCGCGAAUUCCAGAGGCUGUUCCCUACCUCACUUCCUGUGUCUCACAAGUGCCAAUGGUUGGCUCUAGCUUAGCUUAGGACAGCCCAGGUGGGCAGUUAGUUAUUUCUGAUUUGUCAUUGACUAGCACAUGCCCGUGUAGUGUGGGUGUGCACAAUUUUUGGGUGCUAUACCAAGAUGGAGACUUUUAAAAUUCACAAUGUAUAAAAAUUAUUUAAAAUAAUUUUCAAUGUAAUUUCUGAGAGGAGAGAGGCAGAAACUGGGGAAAUCAGAAUAGGUUUGCUAAAGAAAAUAGCUCUUUAUCUAGGGCAGGAGGAAAUUCAGGAGUAUAUGAUGCAAUUAUGAAGAGCAGAUCAUUGUGGCACAGAAUGCUUUAGAAUCAGGGGAUCUAUGUUCAAAUUCUGCUCCUGCUAUUCUGUACAUUUGUAUUCUGUGGUAAGACAGUCAUUCAACUUCUCUGGCAGCUAGGUGGUACGGUGAAUAGAAAACUGGUUUUGGAGUCAAGAAGAUCUGAGUUCAAAUUUGUCUUCAGACAUUUGCUAGCUGUGUGACCCUGAACAAAUAAUUUAAUCUCUGUUUGCCUCAGUUUUCUCAAAGGUAAAAUGGGAAUAAUAAUAUUAUCCUACCUUUUAGGGUUAUUUUGAAAUGCCUGGCAGACAAAAAACAUGUAAUAAAUAUUUAUUCUUUUUCCA